AGACCACAGAAGAAAGGGAAAAUUGUCAUUUCGAGACAUCCAUCCAUCUGUCACCGGUGUGCUGGAGCCUAUCCCAACUGACUUAAGCAUGAGUAGAAAAAGGGGGAAGGAGUAGUAGCCGAAAUGUAUUGAAGAUGAAAGGCUGGUGACUAGAGAGUGGACAUGAGAGUGAGUGGGACUAUCGCUCAUCAUAAUAACAAAACCCUCCCAGAGACGAGGACAUGGGUAGAAAAUGACAGAGGCUCCCUAAGUGCACUUUGUGAUGCUGAAAGCAAAAAAAGAAAACCACAGUAAGAGCCAUUAUCCAUGAACCUCGCCAGGGAUGGCCAGCCAACUAAACUAAACUACCCAAGAACACAGCAAGGACUCAUCCAAGAGGUCACAAAAG